rnacentral:rRNA from 1 species
CAGUCGCCGCGGGAAUACAGAGGGUGCGAGCGUUAAUCGGAUUUACUGGGCGUAAAGCGUGCGUAGGCGGCUUCUUAAGUCGGAUGUGAAAUCCCUGAGCUUAACUUAGGAAUUGCAUUCGAUACUGGGAAGCUAGAGUAUGGGAGAGGAUGGUAGAAUUCCAGGUGUAGCGGUGAAAUGCGUAGAGAUCUGGAGGAAUACCGAUGGCGAAGGCAGCUAUCUGGCCUAAUACUGACGCUGAGGUACGAAAGCAUGGGGAGCAAACAGGAUUAGAUACCCCCGUAGUCCCUGUCUCUUAUAC